rnacentral:rRNA from 1 species
AUUGGAGGGCAAGUCUGGUGCCAGCAGCCGCGGUAAUUCCAGCUCCAAUAGCGUAUAUUAAAAUUGUUGCAGUUAAAAAGCUCGUAGUUGAAUUUCUGCUGCAUUGCUUUUGCUCCUUUACGAGUCUUUGCAUUGUGGCUUAUUUCGGACUUUGUUUUACAAUGUCCGGAUGUUUACUUUGAGAAAAUUAGAGUGCUCAAAGCAGGCUUUCGCCUUGAAUAGUUUAGCAUGGAAUAAUAAAGUAGGACUUUGGUUCUAUUUUGUUGGUUUUAGGUACCAAAGUAAUGGUUAAUAGGAACAGUUGGGGGCAUUCGUAUUUAACUGUCAGAGGUGAAAUUCUUAGAUUUGUUAAAGACGAACUACUGCGAAAGCAUUUGCCAAGGAUGUUUUCAUUAAUCA